UCCUCACAAUCUCACCCGGCAACACCGCUUUCACGGCGGCGCGGAAGACAUCUCGCAGAUCGGCUCUCGUCUCCGACAGAAAUUUCACGUCCGUCGCCAUCCCGCGACUUAAGUUCGUGCACUUGAAAAUUUUAGAGAGUUCCUUUGUAUCUCCCGGAGAAAGAAGUACAGAUAAUUUCCGCAUAACGCGGGGUUAGGCUGUUGAAAAAUGCUGUAUGGUGCGAAAUUGUUAUUUGAAAUCAAUGUUUAUUUCUACCAAUAUCAAGAAUAUGCUCGCAAGAUUGAGAAAAAUCCGUUAGAAUGAAAAUACUAAAACUGUAAUACGUAACCGUGAGUUAUGUGUAAAUGUAAUGAAACAAAUCUGUAAACUUGACGAAUUAUAAAAUUAAAAUCAUGGAAAAAUA